rnacentral:rRNA from 1 species
CCGUGGUAAUUCUAUGGCUAAUACAUGCGCAAAUAUCCUUUUUCGCAAGAAAGAGGAUAGUGUUUAUUAGAUACAGACCCAAUACCCCAUCUGUUUAUCAGGUGGUGUAAAAAAGGUGAUUCAUAGUAACCGAACGGAUCGCAUUAUGGUCAUUUUAUAUGGCUGGCGAUAGAUCAUUCAAGUUUCUGACCUAUCAGCUUUCGACGGUAGUGUAUUGGACUACCGUGGCAGUGACGGGUAACGGGGAAUUAGGGUUCGAUUCCGGAGAGGGAGCCUGAGAAACGGCUACCACAUCUAAGGAAGGCAGCAGGCGCGCAAAUUACCCAAUCCUGACUCAGGGAGGUAGUGACAAGAAAUAACAACACUGGAAAUUUUAUUUCUAGUGAUUGGAAUGAUGGGAAUUUAAACCCCUUUCAGAGUAACAAUUGGAGGGCAAGUCUGGUGCCAGCAGCCGCGGUAAUUCCAGCUCCAAUAGCGUAUAUUAAAGUUGUUGCAGUUAAAAAGCUCGUAGU